UUCUUUAAGGUACAUGCCAGUAGGGAUUGGGAGAUUAACGGGUCUUAGGACCUUGGGUGAGUUCCACGUGAGUGCAGGAGGAGGUGUUGAUGGUAGGAAAGCAUGUAGGCUUGAAUCUCUUAAAAACUUGGAACACCUUCAAGUAUGUGGUAUACGUAGACUGGGUGAUGUAUCAGAUGUGGGCGAGGCUAAGCGAUUAGAACUUGACAAAAAGAAAUACCUCUCUUCAGUUUGACCCUUGAGUUUGAUAAGAAGGAGGAAGAAGAUGAGGAGGAAGAAGAAGGAGAAAGAAGAAAGAACGAGGACGAUCAACUUCUUCUUGAAGCCCUGCGACCACCUCUGGAUUUAAAGGAAUUAGAGAUGCAGUGCUACCGAGGCAACACUGUUUUCCCCAGCUGGAUGACGUCAUUAACCAACUUAAAGAGUUUAGAUCUCUCUUCCUGCGAUAAUUGCGAGCAGCUGCCUCCUUUGGGAAAAUUGCCAUCCCUUGAAAAACUCAGCAUAAUGUUCAUGUGGAGUGUGAAAAGAGUGGGUGAUGAAUUUUUGGGGAUAGAAAGUGAUCAUCAUGGCUCAUCUUCAUCUUCAUCGGUUAUUAUUGCCUUCCCCAAAUUGAAAUCACUCACAAUUUCUUCGAUGCUGGAAUUGGAGGAGUGGGAUUAUGGGAUUACAAGAACGGGAAACACCGUCAUCAACAUCAUGCCACGUCUUUCUUCCUUGACAAUUAAUCACUGCACCAAAUUAAAGGCACUGCCCGACCACAUUCAUCAAACGACAACAUUGAAGGAAUUGCACAUUUGGCAGUGCAGGCUUCUGCAAGAACGGUACCGCAAGGGGAAAGGAGAAGACUGGCCUAAAAUAUCACACAUUCCCAACCUCCAUAUUGGGUUUUGACAAGUAAUUUCUUCUCUCACUCUGAUUUGCUUUGUUGUUGUUUUUAAUCUAAUUAAGAAGCGUAAAUAGCAUUUUGAAUCAAAUUCUAUAUCAGAAAUCUGCAAUACUUACUUUCUAAUAUUCUGAUUUUCAUAUCCUAUGAAUAUACGAUUUUUAAUUUGUGAGAUGGGUAACGUUACUGUAAAAGAUUAUUAAUGCAAUAUGAGUAAUUCUUUUACAGGACAAGUGACCUACAUUUAGUUUGGCUUUGGAGUUGAAUAAUAACGUUUUGAGGUCCCGACAUCCAAAAAACGAAGCUUAAUUUGCCACAGAUUGCACGUAUUGCCAUUAUUGACAAUUUUCUGCACAAGCGUGAUUGAACUUAGGUUGAUGUCAAAAGAGGUAAAUUAUUGGCGUGUGAUGAGCAUAAUUUAUAUACAUAUUUUACCUUUAAUUAUUUAAUUGUUAGUUAUUUUUAUUUAUUAUUUUUAAUUAAUUAAAUUAUUUUAUUGAAUAGGGAAUUAAUUGGAGAUUAUGGAUAAAAAGAGUAUAAAGGAGUUCAAUUUGUAAGCAUUAAAGAUUAAUUGAUUUUUGGAAGCAAUUAGACAUACAUGCAUGCGGAAAUCAAGCCAAGGAACUGAAUUCAACAAGUUAAUUCAUUAUGUACAUGCGGAGAAAGGAGAGAACUUGAUUUAGCUUUAAGAAGGGACCCACACUUGGCUUUUAUAAUUGGAAAAAGGAGUCCUUUAGCAAUUCUAAGUGCCCAGGACGUGUGUGAGAGCAAAUCAAGUAAAAGGCCAAGCCUUUUGGCUUUAGGAUUUAAGAGGUGAGGUCCAUUUUAAAGAUUAUAAAAGGGAGUUUUGGCUUUUGGAGAGGGAAGCCGCCAGAGGAGGAAAACGCGAGACAGAGAAGAAAAUCUGCAGUAGUUCGACUUCCAUGGUUGAAUUUAUUUCUUUUGUUGCUCACAAUUCAAGUAUGUUUAGCUAAUUUUCUUAUACUGAGGUUAAGGAUGAAACCCUAUUCAAUGAAAUAAUUAUCUUUUUAUUUAUUUAAUUUCCUAUUAUGUUCUUUGAUGGUUAUGGUUUUUAUUUCAUAUGAUUAAUUGAAUGUUAUUAAAAUCUUUUCAUCAAUUCUGUCAUGCAUUAUUGAUUGUUAGGAUUAAUAUUCGAUUAAAUCUAUGCUUGGAUCUAUAAAGUUUAUACAUUAUUAUCUUUGAUUCUAUGUCUUUCAUUAAAUUGUUUACACAGAGUACUUAGGAAAACUUUGACUCUUUGUUAUUCAAUAUGUUUACAUGGGACACUUAGAUGUCAUACCAUUAAGCAGAAAAAGAAUCUACAUUAGAUUUAAUUACUUGAGCUUAAUUGUUAUAUCCAUGAGAUGACAUAGAUUGAUUUCGAGUUGUCACUCUAAAAUUGGGGAUUAAUGAAUAUUUAGAUAAUUACUAGUUGAAUAGUGGUGGAUUCUGAAACCUUGGUAAUUUCUAUCCUAUUGAAUUCUCUUUUACUUUAAUUGUUUUCUUAGUUUAAUUUCUUUUAAAACUCAAUUUGUUCAACUAGGUUAGGAUUAAUAUUAAUUUUAGAUUUAAAUUAGACUUUUCAAUUUAUAACAAUCCCUAUGGGAUCGACCUCGUUACCACUACUCUAUUUCUAGAUUCGUGCGCUUGCGAGUAUAUUAAAAUUUUCACAACAGCGUGCCUAACUAUUUUGACCAUUACAUGAUUCAUAAGUUUACAUUAAUUUUGAUUUUGAGUUGAGUGAUUAAUUUUCUAGGUUUGCAUACUUUAAUUGGGUGACCAAUUUCUUGUAACUAAAUGUAUAAUGUGAUGCAGGAAGCAGGGCAGGAUAUGAAAAGAGAAGCUUAUUAGAGGAAGGAUUGCCAGUAACAGAAUCCAAAGAAAAAGAAACCAUUUCGAGGCAGCAGUUGGUAGUUGGCAGCGAAUGGAGCCCCUUGAAAAAAUUCCCAAGCCGUUGCACUGCAAUUACGAUCAUCCUCGGCCUCAGGUAAUUUCUUCUCCUGCAUUUUUGUUAUUUGCUAUCAAGUGACUAUUUUAAGUAUGAUUGCAUUAAGCUGCUGCUGGGAAAUUUGAGGUUUUGAUGGCUGCCCAUGCUAUUGUCAGAAGCUGCGGUUCUUUUCAUCAGCCUGAACCUGGACCUGCCGCUAUGGAUAACUCAGGUUUUUUUUUUUUUAAUCAACUACGUCAUCUUUUCCACUGUUUUGAAACUCUUAAGAUUAAACUUUAGUAAAGUUGUUUUAGUUAUCCAUGUAAUCAAGCUGAGGAUACUUAGCUGCCUAUUUAGGCAAAUGUCAGAAUUUAGUUUCUUCGCUGGGAACUGGUGUGCACUGGCAAAGGAUGAUGAGAUAGUUUUUUGAGUGAGUAAAUUUUGGGAGCUUGAGUGUAUUGGGAUUUGCAAUUACAAUCAUCGUCUGCCUCAGGUGAUUUCUUCUCCUGCUCUGUCAUUGUUUGUUCUCUAAUUCAAAAGCAUAAAAUAUUUCAAUCAAUUUUUAUACCAGGAAUAUGCAAAAGUUUCUAAUAUUUUAUUUCCAUCAGUUACAAGAUCAAACUGAAGCAGAACUCAAACAAAAGUAUGCUACUUCUUGCGGAAAUCUUGCCUUUGUUCAGAUUAUGAAACCAUUUCCAUGCAGCAAAUUCAUCCAAAAGUUUGAAUAAGUUUCAUGGUUGGACACUGUUGGCUUCUUUUUCUUCUGGGGUGCAUUUAGGUGCUAUCAAGUGACAGCUGUAAGUAUGAUUGCACUAAGCUGCCGCUGGGAAAUUUGAGGUUUUGAUGGCUGCCCCUGUUAUUUUCAAGAAACUAUUGAUGUAAGAAGCUGUGGUUCUUUUCAUCAGCUUGAACCUGAAACUGUGGCUAUGGAUAACUCAGGUUUUUGUUAUCAACUAUAUCAUCUUUUUCACUAUUUUGAAACUCUUAAGAUUAAACUUUAGUAAAGUUGUUUCAGCUAUUCAAAUGAAAAACUCAUUGAUUUGAGACUUCCUUCUUUAUUGUUUCUAAUUACAAUGCUAACGAUCCAGAUAAAAUAAUAUUUAAUCGGCGAAGGUGUCCCUUGGAAGUACAUCCUUCUUUUUCUUUUAUUAUAUAAAUUCUUGCAAUGAGCUUAGUGAAGCUGUUGUGCUAAUCAUGCCACUGCAUAAUUUGGCCCCUAAUGUGUAAGAAUGGUGCUAGAUUGGGGAAUAAAGCAAAAGGAGGUAAAUUAUUGGCAGCUUCUUCAACCUUAUUUUCUUUGGACCAGUGCCUAAUUCACAAGUCUCCAUAAUUCGGCUUUUGACCAGUUGAUAGAUAAAAUUUUAAUUUCAUUGGUGCUAAUGUACCCGUGAGGCAGGCAGAGAAGGACUGUGGAAAAGAGAAGGUUUUUAGUGAAAGCUUAAACUCAGGUAAUUCUAAAAAUUAUAUGUUUUGGCUGAUUUAUCUAAAUCAGGAAAUUUUAUUUCCAUCUGUUACAAUAAAACAGAAACAGAACACAGAGAAAAAUAUUCUACUUCUUGUGGCAAUCUUGCCUUCAUUCAGACUAUGAAACCAUUUCCUUUCACCAAUUUCUUCCAAAAGUUUGAACACGUUUCAUGGUUGGACAUAGUUAGCUUCUUUUUCUUUUGGUGCAUUUAGGUGCUAUCAAGUGACAGCCAUAAGUAUGAUUGCAUUAUUAGGAAAUUUUAGGUUUUGAUGGCUCCCCAUGUUAUUGCCAAGAAAUUUUAAGUCCUCAUGUCAGAAGCUGCGUUUCUUUUCAUCAGCCUGAACCCGAACCUGUCACUAUGGAUAACUGAGGUUUUUGUCAUCAACUAUAUCAUCUUUUUCACUGUUUUGAAACUCUUAAGAUUAAACUUCAGUAAAGUUGUUUCAGUUAUCCAUGUAAUCAGGCUAAGGAUAUUUAGCAGCUUAUUUAGGCAACUGCCAGAAUUCAGUUUGUUCGCUCGAAACUUGUAUGGUGACAAGGAUACUGGCAAGGAUAGUGAGAUAAUUUUUUGUGUGAGUGAAUUUUGAAAGCUUGGGUGUUCUGGGAUUUGCAAUUGCAAUCAUCCUCUGCUUUAGGUGAUUUCUUCUCCUGUUCUGUCUUUAUUUUCUCUCUAAUUGAAAGCAUUUCAAUCAAAUUCUGUACCAGGAAUACGAAAAAUUUACUAAUAUUUUAUUUCCAUCUGUUUGCAUUGAUAACUUGGCCGCAUAUGUACUAGUUAAAGAACAAACAGAAGCAGAGUUCAGGAAAAAGUUUCUUCGGCCACCAUAUUUGAAAAUGAAACCAUUUCCAGGAAGCAGUUGGCAGCAAAUUCAUACAAAGUAUAGACGAUGAUGAGCAAAAAGGUGAUUCGCAAUUACAUUUUUUUUAAAAUGAAAUUAUUUGUUAAGUUGGAGCUGAUAUUGUUAGAAGGCCAUUGAGCUAACCUAUGACACUGCUUGCCUAGAUUGCAGGAGGUCAAGACUCAAAAGAUGCACUGAAUUUUAAAAGGCAUGCAAUAAUUCUUAUGGCCAUUUGUCAAUGGUGGAAUGCUUUUAGCUUCUUUUCCUUUCGUGCAUUUUGGGGUUCUAUCAAGCGACAGCCGUAUGUAUGGAUGGAUAUAGCUGCUGCGUUGAUUUCUAAUGCGUUGUAUGAUGUUAUAGCAACUAUCUAUCUGGUGAAUUUUUCAAAAGAAUAAGACACAGGGAAAAAGAGAAAGCAAGUGGCCAAUCAAGUAUUCAUGUCCCAAAGAAAAGAAUGAUUCGACAAUAGCAUUAAGGGUUAAUUGGACACAAGAGAAGUGUUUUAACCACUUCAAGGAAUGUAAAUGUAAUUUUCUAUUCUAAAGAAAAAGUAAAUAAAUGCACUGUCAAUUAAUCUUUGGUCAACCAGCAACAUUCAUAAUUUCGUGUAAGUUUCAUUUCUGUUUGUUGGAAAUAGCAGUGUAUUUCUUAGAGUUUGUAAAAAAUGGAAAGAUUUUAAAAUAUAAAUUUCACAUCUGUUUAUUACUGUUGUUUGAUCUAUUUUCUUAUGUAGAAUUUUCGGAAUCUGUAGGACAUUAAUUUAAAAACUGCUCGUUCCGCUGGUUUCAUACAAUGUCAACUAGAAACAUCAUACUUUCGUGUAAGUUCAUUAUUGUUUCUUGAAAAUAUCAGAAUAUUUCUUAGAGUUUGUAUAAAAUGAAAAGAUUUUAAAAUAUAAAUUUAAUAUUUGUUUAUUACCGUUGUUUGGUCUAAUUUCCUCGGGACAAUUUUCAGAAUUUAUAGGACAUUAGUUUAUAAUUUUGAAAUUUUGUAACCUAAAUGUUUUUUUUUUUCGGUUACCAUUUUGUUUUCCUGCUUUAUCUACGUGUAUGUUGACUAAAACUAAUCUAUUUUGUUAAACCUUUACCACUCUUGACAUUGCACUAAAUAUGAGUUCCUGAUGCUUGCAUUUUAUUGAUGCUGAUGAUUCGUUGAAUAUUUUAUGUUUUUGAUUUUUAAGUAUUCCGGAUCGAAGUUUGUGUCUACGCGGAAAUUGUAAAGGCAGCAUAUAAAGUACUCGUCGUUCUUUAGAUUUUAUUGAGUACACUUUUGUCACAUUUAGCGUAUGCUAUACACUACUGAUUUGCGCAUUGACAUAUAUCUUAUUUUAUCAUUUUGAAUGAAUUGCACGGCGAGGCUUAUCAACUUUGGAUGAAUCCUCCAAUUGUCACAGUCCAAGACUGGCUGCAGUGAGUGAAAAUUUACCCAUAUAUAUGCUGGCUAUUUUUAUUGGCGACGAAUUCGUUGUAGUUGGUCCAUCUUGCUAUUCUCGGACAAUAUUAGAGAAAAUAAUCAUAUUAUUUCGCGUGAUGUGACCUUCCAUAACUUAUCAAUUGAAUUACUGUAAAAUUAUUGUGUAAGUUUAGGCCCAAUGGCACUUUAGUUCAUCACAUGAUAGCCUGGAUUUAAAAGGAAAACUAUAUUGCAUUGCUUCAAAAAAAAAAUUUAAUGUUUUUAAUAUGAAUAUUUUUAACUAUAUUCAGUUAAAAUAAUAUAUUCUUAAUAUUAAUAUUCAUAGAUGAAAUUCUUUUGCGGAUUUAAGAAUAAAAUAUCAAAUAGUUUUAUUUUUCUUUUGUUGUGUAACUUGGACCGAAAAAGAAAAUGAGCUUAACAUGACCCUCCUUCCGGCACUAUGCAUGUUUUUCUUAUAUUGAUGACAGUGCUCUUGGUGCUUCUCAUCUGCUUCUUGCUUUGGUUUCAAACAAGUCUUUCUCCGUCGAGACAUUUAUUGUAAUUUGAUUUGGAGACAUCUGUCGUUCAAAUAUAUUUCAUAUGCAAGCUGUUGAUAAUUCUGCUUGAGAAAGCCUACAAAGCAGCUGUGUGAUGUAAUAGAAGACUAUAUAUGCAAACGGUCAUCAGUUUCUCUUGAAUUCUUUCUUGAGUUUCUUUGAAUUAUUUGUGAAUGAGUUCUUAAUCGGCUGCUGCUCUUCAGGAAAAGGAAAGUGUUGCAAACUGGUGAAGCUGAUCGAUAAAAGCAAUGUACCAUCUUUGCUGCCAUGGAUCGAUGCCAGUGAGUUUUUUUAUUUGUCAAACUACUAAUGAGUUCUCCAUGCAUAUGUGUUUCUUCAACUUGAAGCGGCAUAUAAGACGAAAGAAGUGAUCUUUAAAGCAUUCUAUCGCAUUAUCCUUUCCUAUUAUAUAUAUCCAAUUGCUCCAAAUUAUUUGUAAAUUACUGAACACGAAUGCUGAUGAAUAAACUGAUGGCUCUAUGUAUGUAUGCACAUGCAUGGAGAAAUUUUAAGUCAGACAUUCUCAUAUAUAACUCGUGGUACCGAAUCAUUAAAUAAUCUUGAAAUCAAAGUAAUAAUUAAAUACAAAUAAAUUGCUCGAAUUGUACAUAUAUCUGAAUCAUGUAGUGAAGAAAAUACAACAACAACAACCAAUGGCUCAAAUUCCCCAUCAACUUCUAGUCUCAACACUUUUGAGUGUCAGAAGCAUUACUCUGCUACCAGUUAACAAACAUAUAAUUAGUAAUUAGCUAUUCACUUCCCUUUUAGGCCUACCACAUUUUCUACAAAGGAGCCAUAGAGUGAACUCAGCAGGAAACACUCAAUUUCAACCAAAAAAAAAAGAAGUGUGCAAUAGCUUAUCCUAUCCUAUUGCUACUAGAAAGAAAGUGAACAAUUAAUUUCAGUGAAUAAAUUAAAAAAAAAAUCACUUCUGCAGAUACUCAAGCUAAGAACACAUUAACCCAUUGAAGACUCCAAAUUGCAUCAAACAAAUUGUUGUUAAACAAGUAAAACAAAGAAAGAGAGUUAAGGAAGCUGAACUAGUAGUAGGGGAGCUGAAGAAAGACUGCCAGUGAAUGUAAGAGAAAAUAAAAUGCAAGAAAUGGUGAAGUGCAGCUUUUCAUGUCAACUUGAAAUUGAUUUUUCUGUUUUUUUUUUUUUUUUGGUAAUCUUUUGGAUUUUUCAAACAAAGAAAAUGAGGAGCAACCAGGGAGAUAAAAAGGGCGCCAAGGCAACUGUCCACUACUGAUGAUAUAACAACGAACCUUUGUUUUUUUCUUUUUUCUUUUUUAAAAAAAAAAGAGUAACAAAAUAUCAUUAGAGAAAUGAAAAUAUUAUCUAACAUCACCCUACUGAUGAUAUGAAAAUAUGUAUGUAUGUAUGUAUGUAUAUACGUAUGUAUGUAUGUACAUAUAUACAUACACCUAUGUAACAUUUACUUAUACAUUCUUUUGAGUUUAAAUCUUAAUACACAUUUUCAUGAAAUUUUUAUUUUAUUAAGUAUACAACUACAUACAACUACAUUAAUGUAUAUAUUUUUUUACAUAAGACAUGCCGUCCUAUUAUUAAUAAGUCAACAAUGUGUUGUAAAUAGUGUUCGUGUCUCAAAGUUGACUUUUCGUCUUUUAUUUUCAGACGCAGACGCUGUGUCAUUUUGUAAUCUUCCAAACAUAUACAGAGCAGAAUUGGUGUUAUCUGAUUUUGUGAUGCAAUAAGAUUUGCACUUCCUGUGCAUUCAAUGGAAUCAUUUCUUUGUAACUAAUUGGGUGGUGGAAUGGUGGUCAAAUCUCGAACGAAGACAGAUCUAUCAAACUCCAGAAACAGGGAAACCAUGCCACGCUAGUAGACAAUAUGCUAGUUUGAACAAACUUGUUUGAAUGGCAAAAACGACAUGACCUGCUGUAGUAUUAAUUCUUUCCCGAACCAACGGGUGAUUUGCUACGUUGGAUCAUGAAAAUUGAAAAAAACAAUUAACGAAAAUAAAAAUUCUUAAGGAAUUAGUUAGUUAAUUGAUUGAUCGAAUUUAAUCUAAAUUUGAAAAUGAUAAGAUAAAUUUAAAUUUAUUAUUAUUAUUAUUAUUAUUUUAAAGUGGGUGGGUUUAUACAAUUUGAGCGGUGGAAAUAUCACUGCUGAAUUAUUAAAUAUACAGUGUAAAAUUUUGACCUUUAAAAUAUUCCCUUUUUUUUUUAUUUAGCACUAUAAGUUUAAAAAUUUAACAUUUUACCUCAAUAAUUAAAUACUUUUAACUUUAAUCUUCAAAUAUUUACCCUACAACAUUUGGACCUAAAUUUUUAAUCCGACUCGGCCCCUGACCCAAGUGGGAAGAAGAUCAAGCUUAUAACUAUCACCAACGUAACAUCUUCUGGAAAAUAAUAAGAUUACUCACCUACAAUUAUGUGAUCAAACUAAUGGUAAGCAAAAUAGAACAGCGUUAUUUCAGUCCCCUUUCAGUUUCUUUAUCAUUUUUCUUUUCCUAUUUAUAAGCUUAAUUCGGUCCAAUAUCGGCUAAUUCACUUUGAUUUCACUUUUCUUUCUUUCGGUUCAAAAAAAUUGAAUCCAUUGGCUGUCAAUUCAAUUUUGUUGAAAACCAACUUUGCCUGAAUUUGAGUAAUAAUAGAGGGAAAAAAAAUGAGUACUUAGCAGAAGAGAUUUCUCAUUUUUUUCUCAUUCAAACUUCUAAAAUAAAGGGAAAAAAAAAACAAGAGUAAUUGUUAAUUAUCAAAAAUUUGUUUAUACUAUUCCACCAAGAAAAUUAUAAAAUUUUUUUUAAAAAAAUUGGAGAAGAAAUAUGAGGUGAAAUACGUGGAUGGCUUAGACUAAUAAUGUGAACAAAUUCCUCUCGGAAACAUGUCAUUGUUCAUCCGGACAACACGCGGUGAUGAGAUUCAAGAAUUAAAUGAUAGGAAUCAACUGUAACCUCAUAAACAAAUGGCCUUGGAGUUGUAAACACCAAGCUCGGCAGAUUAAUUAAACAAGAAUAUCCGAAUUUUUUUAUGAUAAUCUCUAGGAAACGAUCAGCUAUAAUGUACGAAAUUAAAAUAUUGCAUAUAUUUUUGAACUCAUGCAUUAAUUUCAAAAAUUAUAUCGUAUUAUAAUUUAUUCACAAAAGAAAGAAAAAUUCACUAAUCAAUUGAAAUCGUACUCUUAUUGAAAUGAAUUCCAGUAAUUGGAUAAAUAUAAGUAUUUCUUCCAGUGUAAUUUUUGUUUAAUAGAAAAUCUAUUUGAGAUUUUGUGAGAAGAAACUCAACAAUAAAGUGUGAUAGACUUUGUGGGUAUUAAGAGUUUGACAAGUAUUUGAAAUCUGAAGUUUACGAGCAAACAAACUGAAAUCCGAAGUUUACUGAAGUUUACUAUCAAGAGUUUCAAAACAGUGAAAAAGAUGAUAUAGUUGAUGACAAAAACCUGAGUUAUCCAUAGCGACAAGUAACAUACUGAAGUAAGCCGUUGGGAGCUGGCCUGUUCAUGGGCUAUUUUUCUCUGAUGAUCUGCAUUUUUCUUCCUUUUAAAGUGAACCUUGACUCGUAUCAAACCUGUCAAAAGAACAGUUCAUCAACUGAGCUGAGAUUUGCUUUCCUUUUUCAAAACCCACCUGAGAUAUUGUAAUUCCCAAAUUUCCCUCUCUCAGCUACACGAGCAAGCAGCCGCUUUUUCACUUCAUCGAAGAAGGUAAGCGAUAUAUCUAUUUCGUCCGAUUGAUUUCUUGUUUCCUUUUCAGUGUUCGGGUAAAUUAUUGGCAUGCCUGACUUUUUGACCAUUACAUGAUUCAUAAAUUUCUAUUAAUUUUGAUUUUGAGUUGACUGGUUACUUUUAUAGGUUUGCUUAUUUUGACUAGGUGACCAAUUUCUUGUAACUUAAUUUAUGACGUGAUGCAGGAAGCUGGGCAGAAUAUGAAAUGAGAAUCUUAUUAGUGGAAGGAUUGCCAGUAACAGAACCCAAAGAAAAUGAAACCAUUUCAAGGCAGCAGUUGGCAGUUGGGAGUGAAUGGAGGCCCCUGACAAAACUUCAGUAAACUUCAGAUUUCAGUUUGUUUGCUCGAAACUUGCAUGGUGACAAGGAUACUGGCAAGGAUAAUGAGAUAGUUUUUGUGUGAAUGAAAUUACGACCAUCCUCAGCCUCAGGUAAUUUCUUCUCCUGCUUAGUUGUUAUUUGUUACCUAAUUAAGAAGCAUAAAGUAUCUUGAAUCAUUUUCGUUGUCUGGAAUAUAUGGAACAGUUUUUAAAAUUUUGAUAUUAGUGUAAUGAUUGUAAUUUCUGUUUUCUGUCUGUCAUCGAAUGUAAGACAACUUUAUUAAGACUCUUGAACCGAGUCAUUUUUGACAAUUGAAGGACAAGUGCUGAAGAGUGGGAAUGCAAAAAGUUUUGUUGUUUUUAGCCUUGUUUUCUUUGAACCAGCGCCUGAUUCACAAGACUCCAUUAAUUUGGCUUUUGAUCAGCUGAUAGAUAAAUGUUCAAUUUCUUUGGUGAUAAAUGUAUAUGUGAAGCAGGCAGCAGGGCAUGACUGUGGAAAAGAGAAGAUUUUAGUGAAAGCCGAGACUCAGAUAAUUCUACGCGUUUUGGCUGAUUUAUAUAAUUCGUGAAAUUUUAUUUCCAUCUGUUACAAGAUCAAACUGCAAUUAGCAAUUUAACAUUCCCUUAAAACCACUAGCUACAUUUCAUCUUUGCACAAUUACACUUAAAAUUCCACUAAAAGAAACUCUUGAGUUGCUCGCAAGCUAUAUAUCAUUAUCCAUUGAAUUCUUACCACAUAUAUCUCACCUUUCAAUCAAUUGUUGAAAAAUUCAAAUUUGGAAUUCAAAUACAUGCAUUCAAAUUUGGCUAAUACAUCAUUUGACCAACUUGCAUACACAUGCAUGCAUUCAACUUUGGAGAGGCAAAUUUGAAGACAAAUUCCUAUGGUAGGUGCCUAAUUUUUGUUGACAAUUUUGUUGGGUAGGUGCCUAAUUUAUGUUGACAAUUUUGUUGGGGUUGGUGCAAUAGUGCACCCCAUUUUUCCUUAUAAAUAGAAGGCAAUUCCUCAUUUGUUAAUCAUCCCAAUUUUGAGAGAAGUAGAGAGCAAUUGCAAGUGAGUUCUUUAAGAGAAUUUGAGAGAGCUUCCACUUGAGUGUUCUAGUGAAUUGGGGUUGUGGGUUUUGUGAGUUUUUUCCACUUUUGUAAAUUUCCAUUAUUAGUAAAAUUAUCUUUCAGUCUUUACCCGUGGAUAUAGGCAUUACGCCGAACCACAUGAAUCAUUGUGUUAUAUUUUCUUUGUAUUUGUUUAACACCACAUUUAUAUUUCUUCAGAAGUUGCAGUAUUAGUAAUUGCUCAACCCACGUUUCCGCAACAUCAAUCACAUAAUAAUCAAUAUACCUAUUGUAAGAAUUCAACAAAUGGAGAACAUAAUAUACUAUAAAAGCAUCCAAAAUUUUUCCAUCUCAAAUUAUUACUAAGCUUCUUGAACAAGUUGAAGAUUGGGGGGAAAAAGUGCAAGAAGGAAAAGCAUUAUUCUACUAGCUUCUGGGUUUCUCAUUUGAACAGAAAGAUUAAAUAAAAUAUUUGUGUAUGGCUGUAGUACUACACGGUAUCUGCUAGAAAGCAAAACACCUUCUGCUGAUUGCACAUUGGAAUGGGAAUAAGUUGGUAAACAUAUAAGUUACAUAAAUUAUUUUGGAUAAUUCUGCUGGUGAAUUAAUUAUCUUAAAAUCACCCUUUUAUUUUUUAAAAAAUCUUAAGUUAUUUUUCAUAUAUGUUAAGAAGACAAACAAACUUUCAUCAACUCUCCUUUUUUAGCUUUUCCCUUCAAUUUGUUAGAAGGCCAAUGAGCUAACCUAUGACACUGCUUGCCUAGAUUGCAGGAGGUCAAGGCUCAAAAGAAGCACUGAAUUUUAGAAGGCAUGCAAUAGUUCUUGUGCCAUAUGUCAAUUCAUGCAAGUUUGAAUAAGUUUAUUGGUUUGAACGCUGUUAGCUUCUUUUCCUUUCGUGCAUUUUGGUAUGCUAUCAAGUGACAGCCGUAUGUAUGGUUUGCAUAUAGCUGCUGCUGGGAAAUGUGAGGAUUUCAUGGCUGGCCGUGUUAUUGUCUUAAAUUAGAUGUGAUAAGCUGUUGCUUGGAGAUUCUGUUGCCAAGACUUUGCUCACAUCAGAAGCUGUGGAACCUCAACCCGUCUCUAGAUAUCAAAUUUUUCAUUGUUUUAAAAUUCUCAGGAUUGAACUUGAGUAACUUUGUUCGGUUGUCUAUAUAAUCAUGUAUUGAGUAAACUCUCAGGAUACUGAGCAGGGAAAUGCCAUAACUCGGUUUGUUCUUCAAAAAAUUGUUUAAGAUUCUUGACAAAGCUGCAUGAAGUGAAUCUUGGGAGCUUUGAGGGUGAGAGAAAUUAGAGGGUGUAUAGGGAUUUGGGUUUAUUAGGAAGUUAUAUAUGUAUUUCGUCACUUAUCAUUAUCAUUUUUAUUUUCACAGAAAACCUUCUGAUGGUGCUAAAUUUUCAAACACCGGUCCGAUUCAAAACUUCAUAUUCCAAUUAUAUUCAUAAGACAAAUGGAACACUUUGAACGGCUUGUGUCCGAGCAUUGUAGUUUGAUUUACUUUGAUGAAAGUACCUUUUGACAUUGAGAUUCUUUCAUGAUUUAAAUUUUUUUUUUUAAACCAAAUUAUUAAACAAAAGUAACUAACAUAUAUUAUUUUAUUAGUGCUUUUUAAAUCAAAUAUACAUAGGAGAACUGUAAUUCUUAGCAAUCAAUUUUCCACUAAAUACACCUGCAACAAACUAUUAAUAACAAAGUGAUAGAAAAUACCUGAUUUUUCAUACUUUCUAAUUUCUUUUGGUCCUAAAAUAUGGGCAUUUGUGUAAUAAUAAGCCCAUGUGGAUCUCUAUGCCAUGAGUUUGAUAAAUAGCUAUCAAGGAUCACUUAUUAAGCAAAAAAUAUUUGGAGGACAAAAUUGUAAAACUAAAAGGGUGGAGCAAAUAUGGCUAUCUAGGAUUAAAUAGUAAGUCAACUAUAUUUAAAGGAUAAAAUAUUAAAACUUGAACUGUGAUAUUAAAAAUAUCUCAACUAUUAUAUUAUUAAACCAUAUGUUUUAAUAGUUUUUUUUUUUUAAGCUUCAAAAUGUUCAGGAUUUUAGAUUGAAACAUUUUCAUUUGAAAUUAUUUGGUGCAGUCACAAGUUAAGAAAGAAAAAGUUGUCCCAUUGGUCAUUUCACAAAAAUGAAAGCCCUGUAUAACAUGGACUUGAAUGGAAGCCCAAUUGUUUGUGUUUGAUUAAUUGAUUUCAAGCUUUAUCUGACCUUUGGACCUGGAUACUUUACCGCGGCCUCUAAGCGCUAUAAAUUUUUUUUUGGGAUAAACGGCGCUUCAAUGAGGCCAUUUCCAAUGCUUAACACCAUUUUGGUGUAACGCCAACAUUAAAAAUGUACAUUUUUCACACUAAAUUACUAUUUAAUCUCCAACCCAUUUGAUCUACCAUAAUUGUGCUGGGGCCACGUUAUGUUGAUCUCCCUCUCGUCACCAAUAGCUCCUCCGCUUGCUGCGAACUUGCUUGUUUGUUUUCCUUAUUUUUCUGCCUACUCUCCUCAUUUAAUACGGAGGCUACAACAUCAUCGAAAACUAAACUGUCCACUGGAUUGUUGUUUGUUAGGUUGAUGAUGAGUUGAUCAUACGAAUCUGGUAGACUUUGAAGUAGAAGCUCUGCACGUACAUUAUCCUCUAUAUUAUGACCCAACGUUGUGAGUUGUGAAAAUAGAGUCUUCAAGGUGUUGAUGUGGUCGGUCAUCAUUGUAGAUUCCGCCAUUCGAAGAGUAUAAAGUCUCCUCUUCAAGAAGAUUUUGUUGUGUAGUGACUUGGCCUUGUACAAUUUUGUAAGAGUAUCCUAUAUUUCCUUCGCUGUAUUUUUCUCUGCCACACUGGAUAAUACUCCAUCCGCAAGUGCCAAGUGUAGAUCAGAAAUAGCAUUGCCAUCUAUCUCAUUCCACUUGCCAUCAGUUAUCUCCACAAGUCUUUCUCCAAUUGCUGCCAAGCAAUUAUUUUUCCUCAAUACAACUUUCAUCUUCAUUUUCCACAACGAAAAAUUAUUUUCGUUAAACUUCUCAAUUCCAUACUUUGCCGUCAUUUUGUUGAUAAAUAUCGCACACAAGUUAGUGUACCACCUUGAAUAGUUGUGAGUAUGUGUGAGAAUGCACACCAGGAAAGUUCCCAGGAAAGACUGGAGGGGUUACACUAGUCCCACUUAAAACCCAGACUCCUUAAGCUCUUAUCGCCUUUGUGACAGAAUUUUCCUAGACAUGUACAAAACCACACAGUUACUUUUACUCACACCACUCUUUCCUGCUUUGCACCGUAAAAGUUCUUGGAUCGCUCCCACCGUUUCUCGUGAACAGUACCGUAUACGUGAACAAUGUCGUACACGUGAAUAGUAUCGUAUACGUGAAUAAUACCGUAUACGUGAAAUUGAAACCUCACAUCAUUUAUUCUUAUUAAUAAAUCUCAAGAUAAAUAAUCAUUAUUCAUACUCCAACUGAAUCCUUACAUAAAACAUAUGAAAUAAGGUCUCCAAAGAAAAGUCUCUAAUGCAAAAUAAGAAGUCUAGCCAAAUUUAAUCUUUAAAGCAACUCCAAAGAUCCACUAAGAAAAAUUCUCCGUCUAAGAACCCAAGCCAUAUCUCUAAUCAAUCUGCAAAAUAUUAGAGACGAGGGGUGAGCCGUCAACUCGGUAAGCAAAUCCAUGCACAAUAUUUGAAAACCUUUGUCAUAUACCUUUAAACACAUCUUCAUUGAGCAUAAGGGGUGGAUUCAUAUAAAAGCAUUAAAAACAUUAAAACAUUCAUAAAAACAUUAAAACAUAAAUAUUGGUAGCUCAUGCCUCGUAGUCAUCAUCAUUCAUCAUUCAUCAUUUAGGGUGUUAUACCCCGCAUAGUUCCUCAUUCAGGGUACUAUACCCCACAUUGUUCAUCACAUCCUUGUGCACAAGAUCAUCAUCAUACCAGCAAGCUGGUUAUAGCAUUUCAUAACAUCAUAACAUUAAUAUCAUAUACAUUACUACGGACUAUGAGCCAAAACAUUUUUGAAUCCACCAUACAUCCUUUCAUAAAUAGCAUUUAAAGUCUUCUAAAACAUUUAAGAACCUUUCUUUGAUCAUUUAACUCUUUUUGAAAAUUCUUUAAGAAAACAUUUUGUUUAAGAAAACUAAUUUCUUAAGAAAAAUUCAUUUUAAAAUACAUUUAUAUAAAUUCAUUUAAAAGUGUUUUUAUUUUACAAAAUUCAUUUAAAUAUUUUAGAAAUCAUUUUGUAAAAAUUUCCAUUUAAACAUAAUUUUUGUAACAUAAAUUGCAUUUAUUAUAAAGCACAUCAUGCAUGAAUCUACUUACCUCGAUCCGUAGCAAUCAAUACUUCAAGAACAACCAACGAGCUCACCCACAUCCUAUAAUCAUCAUAAAAAUAUUCUUAUCAAUAUCAUCUCUAACCUUAAAUAUAAUCCCGAUCAUCCUUAAAUCAUAGACACUAAUACUAGCUUAAUACUAAUACAUAUUCUAAACAUAUCCUAUACUUAUGAGUAUCCUACACAUGCUGAUUUUUAAUAACCUAUACACAUGUCGGAAAACCAUGAAAAUUUACAGAGGCACUGUGAACAUGAAUAGCAUUGCAUACAAUAUUUCACAAAAAUCAGCACAAGUCAAAAUCGAGUCAGAAUAUUGACCUUUCACCAAAGUAACAAAACUGUCCAGCACCGACCAAAACAGACCUUUUCCACUUAGAAAAUUCAUAAAAUAUUCUUUGGUACUUGAAAUAAUAUGCUUCUUUUUUUUUCUAAUUACAUAAGACACAUUCAAAAAGAAUAUAAUUAAAAUUCAUAAUUUUUGGACUUCUGAGACUAUUUUAAAACGUUUUAUUUCCGAGAACAUCUAACCCGUCCAGAAAAUUCCAGUUUUGAAAACAAAAUUUCAAAAAUUCGUAUCUUUUAUUUUACAUGCCCAAAAAUCGCGAUUCCAGUUUUUAAAGACAGAGGAAAGAUUGAAAUUUCAUUACAAAAUCCUACCAUGGCAUGUAAUAUUCAUAAACUAGCCCAACUGUUACACGUUUCAGCUUCUGAAAUUCUGGAAAACAGUUUCCAGAUUUGCAGCAGCCAUAUGUUACGAUUUUUAAUAAUUCAACCAUAAAGAAUAAAAUUACGAAAUUAAACAUGAAAGCAUAGGAGACAUAGAUCUGUUGGCACAAAAAUCAGCAUAAUUUUUAAGGACGUGUAACCUUAUAGAAAAAUUUCCAGAGUUGAGAACCGCUACUGAAAAUCGGAAUUUUCCAGCACCAGUAACCCAACUUCGAAAACCCAUAACAAUUUGCAUACUCAGACGAUUUCAACACAAAACCUAUCAAUGGAAAGCCUAGGAUGUCUAGUUCCAUGAUAUGUAAGAUAUUCACGUGAUUCUAAAUAAAGAAAACAAUUUCAAGCAAGGAAUAGAGACUGUUCAUAUCAUCACAACAUUACAAACACACAUAUAUUACCCAAAUCAUACUACAAGUAAUUAAAGGCAAACAAUUUCAUAAAAAUAAAUCAUAUAAGUCCAAGAAAUACUUAAUACCUUAAGGCAAACACUAAGAAAAGAAGUGAUGAUGCUUUCUUUUCCUUCUCCAACGACUUAUAUUUCUUUCUUUUCUUUCUAGGGUUUGUCCAAGCAAUCACUUUCAUCAAACGACAGCGUUGAAGGAAUUGUGCAAUUUUUAACGUUCUUUUCUAGACAGAAGUCACAGAGAGGGGAAAGGAGAGGAUUGGCCUUAGAUAUCUCACAAUUAUUAUUGAGAUAAAACGUUAUUGUAAAAGACGAUUAACAGAAUAAUAUUGAUUCUUUUGCAUUGUUAUAAUAAUAAUUUUUUCUUUUGACAGUUCUGCAGGACAAGUGAUCAGAGCUCAAUGAAUAUAGCCGUGGAGGCUGAACUUAGGUUGAUGUCAAAAGAGGUAAUUGACUUGGCCUGUUAAUAUAUAUAUAUAUAUAUAUAUCAUAUGAUGCAGGCCACAGCAGAGCAGGAUUAUGAAAAAGAGAAGCUUAUUACAGGUCAUUCAAGUUUACUUGCUUUUAUAUAAUAAGUGUUUUGGCCGAUUUAUCUAAUUCACAAAAUAUCAUUUCCGGUACAUAUCUCCAUCGGUAUCAAGAAGAGGCAGAACCCAAAGAAACGUUUCAUGCAUCUUCAUAUUUGUGCGAAUCCAUCCUUUCAUUGAGAAUAACCAUUUCCAGGCAGCAGUUGGCAAUCAAUUCGCACGUCGAUGCUAUUCAUAGAUAUUAAAGACAAUGAUGAACCAAAGGUGAUAAGUCAUAAAUGCAUAAUUACCAAACCUCCAUCCUUCUCUCAUUAUGAUGUGAUUUUAAAUGAAUUAUUGCUUGGUAAGUGGUAACAUUAUUUCCAAACCAUUGCAAGUCCUUUUUUUUUUUUUGGGGAGAAAUUUCAAUUGAAAGUGAUUCCUUGUCUAAUGUCACCAUCAAACAACAAAUUUAAAAGCCUACCUAUCAAAUACAUGAGGCAAUAAACGGAGAAAAAGUUGAAUUACAAGAACAAGUUGACGAUUCUUGUCAAUGGUUAAUGAUUCGUGAACUGAGAUAGCAUUCAAGAAUCCAAUUUCAAUACAACAACGUAAAAGAUAAACAGAUGAUGAAUUUUAUGAGAUAAAGAAGGAGAUCGUGUUUUAUCGUAUCUCUAUUUUCUUUCUUUUUAAAUUUAAAAUAAGCUUUUCAAUCGGUUUGUUAACCGGUUAUAAUAUUUUUUAAAAUAAUUAAAUAUUUUCAUUAUUAAAAAUAAUGUGUACCGUUGAUUACAUCUAACGGUACAUAUUUCUUACACUAUUAAUACCGUAAAAAAAAUCAUAGAAGGAACCUUAAAACAUUUUCAUUUAAAAUUAUUUGGUGUAGUCAAAAAGUAAUUAAGAAAGAAAUAAUUGUCCCUUUGGUCAUUUCACAAAAAUGAAAGCCCCAUAUAACAUGGACUUGAAUAAUGGAAGCCCAAUUGUUUGUGUUUGAUUUCAAGCUUUAUCGGACCUUUGGACCUGGAUACUUUACUGCGGCCUCUAAGCCCUAUAAAUUUUUUUUGGGAUAAAAGGCGCUUCAAUGAAAAAGCACUUUAAAACUUUGGAUUUUGCCAAAACUUCAAAGCGGUUGCGGUGUUAUGCUAACGGGUUUAAAGGUUCCGAUCCAAUGAGUUAGGGUGGAAUAUGAAUAUAUAAAUUCCAUAGCAUGUAAGGACUAGGAUUUGUUUGUUCAUAUCAAGAAAAAAAAUCUGAAAAUUUGAUGAUCAGAAGAUAAGAACACUUAAAACACGUUUAUUACAGAGAAACAAACGACAACAUGAUACUAGUAGUAGUUAUUCUUUUCAUCCGAUAUAUUACAUGGUAAUAUCACUACUCGUUCCACUGGUUUCAUAUACACCAUCGACCAGCAACAUGAUAAUUUUGUGUCUGUUCAUUUUGUUUGUAGGAAAGAGCAGUGUAUUUCUUAGAGCUUGAAAAUAAUAAAAAGAUUUUAAAAUAUAAAUUGCAUAUUUGUUUAUUGCUGUUGUUUGGUCUAAUUUCUAAUUUCUUAUAUAUUCACAUACGUUUUAUUUUGUCAUUUUGUAGAACAUUUUUACACGCCAUAUUAUCACGUCUCUUCUCUGUCUGAAUAAGAAGAAGGCAUAAUGCGACCCUCCAACAGCUUAAUCUAUGGAAUUAUCGUGUUUUGUAAGUUGAGGUCCAAUGGCGUUUUGGCACAUCAUAUGAUAGACCACUAUAUUGCGUUGCUUUACAAAAGAUUAAUAUUUUUAUUUAUCUAAUUCACCAAAUGUUUUUUUCCGGUACAUAUCUCCAUUGGUAUCAAGAAGAAGCAGAACCCAAAGAAACGUUUCUUGCAUCUUCAUAUUUGUGCGAAUUCAUCCUUUCAUUGAGAAUAACCAUUUCCAGGCGGCAGUUGGCAAUCAAUUCAUUCGCACGUCGAUGCUAUUCAUAGAUAUUAAAGACAAUGUUGAGCCAAAGGUGAUAAAUCAUAAAUGCAUAAUUACCAAACCUCCAUCCUUCUCUCAUUAUGAUUUGAUUUUAAAUGAAUUAUUGCUUGGUAACAUUAUUUCGGGAAACCUUUAGACAUUUACCUAAUGAAGUUAGUUAAUCGGGUGGGUUGGAAAAAAAAAAAAGUUGACGCAAGUCAAUGCACAAUGAUUAAUUAAAUCCGGAGUGACUAAAACAGAGCCACUACUUUUUCAAAAAUAUCUGCAUUCAUCACUUUCUCCAGCAACUAGUCAGCUACACACGAAUCAAUUUCUCUCCUCGUUUGUUGUCAUCCAAAAUUAUUCACCAAUACCAUGGCUGAUGCAAUCGUUUCCACUAUCUUGGAGCAGCUGAUUUCCUUCGCUGCUGAAGAGAUAAAACAACAGGUGAUCAAAGUUACACCCCUCAUAUUACAAAUGCUUCCAAUGAUUUUAAUUGGUUUUGUUUUUAUUGAAAACAUUAUCUAUUGUUGCUUUAUUUUAUUUAUCUGGUAAUUUUGUAUUUUGAAAUUUGAAUUGAAUUUAAUUAAAAGGUGAUGUAGUGACCACUCAUUUUUAUUUUAUUUCAUUUAUAUUCUCAAUAACUACCCAUAUUUUGGUAACUUAAUAUAACUCUCGUACAUAAGCAAUGAUCAAAACCCACAAUUUUAACUCUGUAUAAAUAUUCAACGUUGAGUCAUUAAUUCUCAACUCAGCACUGAAUCCCAUAGCUAUUACUUAGACUCUAUGAAAAAUUUCAUAGUUUUCUUACAUUCUUUGAGUUUGGUAAGUGAUUUCAUAUAAUUUCUUUUCAAGUUAAAUUUUAAUUUGGUUUCUGAUAUAGUCUCUUUGCCGAAUUGUCUCUUUUAUGAUUCUUGGAUUUUGGGCUUCAACUUUUUAGGAUUUGAUAGUCACAUUUUAUGCCGUGCUCAGAUUGAUUUUCAUGAUUUUUAGUAGCCGUUAAGUGACUUACAAUUUGACGAAAGUUUGAAAGGAAAUAUGUUUCAGGAUUAUGUUUUAAUUGACCUUUUAGUGGAAAUAGGAUGCUUAUAACUUAAUGUGGAUGGUUCGUAAAAUCAUGAAAUUUGGAUAGGAUUCACUAGAAAUAUGUACAAGACUCUCCAUAAAGUUUCAUAAUUUUUCAUUCGGUCUGGGGUGGUACAGGUGAAGCUUGUGGUUGGUGUUGACAAAGAAGUGAAAAGCCUUACCAGCCACCUUCAAGCCAUUCAAGCUGUUAGCGAUGAUGCAGAGGAAAAGCAAGUGAAGGACAAAGCUAUUAGACUUUGGCUGGGUAGGCUCAAGUACGCAUCCUACGACAUUGAAGAUGUGUUGGAUGAAUGGAUCACGGCAAGACAAAUUGCAAAUUAAGGGUGGCGCUGAUAAGAAAAAGAAGGUAUGUUUCUGCUUUCCCGCCUCUUGUUUUGGAUUCAAACAAGUCUUUCUACGUCAUGACAUUGCCAACAAGAUCAAAGAAGUCAGUGAAGAGCUACAUGAUAUUGCCACCCAAAAAGACAUGUUUAAAUUUGAGAGUAGCAGUAAAAGUAGUGAAAGACCAAGGCGUGUGCAGAGUACCUCCUUGAUUGAUGAGGAAGAGAUUUGUGGUAGAGUUGGUGAGAGGAAUGCACUCUUAAGCAUGCUAUUGUGUGAGAGCAGUGAGCAACAAAAAGGCCUUCAUAUCAUCUCAAUUGUUGGUAUGGGAGGCAUCGGGAAAACAACUCUUGCACAACUAGCAUGUAAUCAUGUUGAGGUAAAGAGAGAGUUUGACAAAAUUUUAUGGGUGUGUGUAUCAGAAACUUUUGACGAGUUUAGGAUUGCCAAAGCGAUGCUUGAAGCUUUGACUGGUUCAACUUCUAAUUUAGAUGCAUUGCAAUCUCUUCUUAUAAGUAUUGAUGAAUCUAUUGCGGGAAAGAGAUUUCUUCUUGUCUUAGAUGACGUGUGGGACGGAGAUUACAUUAAAUGGGAACCAUUCUACCGUUGCCUAAAGAAAGGUCUCCAUGGAAGUAAAAUUUUAAUUACGACACGUAAGGAGUCAAUUGUGAGCAUGAUGAGAUCCACAGAUAUUAUCUCUAUCAAGGAAUUGGCUGAAGAAGAAUGUUGGGCAUUGUUUAAGCGGUUAGCAUUUUUCGGUCGUUCCACUGAGGAGUGUGAAAAAUUGGAACAAAUUGGUCAAAGAAUUGCAAGAAAGUGUAAAGGUUUACCUCUUGCUGCAAAGACAAUGGGAAGUCUCAUGAGCUCUAAAAAAACUGAAGAAGAGUGGAAAAGAAUUUUAAAUAGUGAUUUAUGGAAGGUAGAAGAGAUCGAGAAAGGUGUUCUAACCCCUUUGUGGUUGAGUUAUAACGAUUUGCCAUCUAGAGUAAAAAGAUGUUUCUCGUAUUGUGCUGUCUUUCCAAAAGACUUCAAUAUAGAAAAAGACAAACUAAUUACUUUGUGGAUGGCUCAAGGUUAUCUUAGUGCAGAAGAAGAUGAGGAGAUGGAGACUAUAGGUGAAGAGUAUUUUAGCAUCUUAGCUUCUCGCUCUUUCUUUCAAGAGUUUAAGAAAAGUUAUGAUAAUCGGAUUAUAGAGUGUAAGAUGCAUGAUAUGGUACAUGAUUUUGCCCGAUUUGUAAGUCAAAAUGAAUGUUUUUCGAUGGCAAUUAAUGGUAGUGAAGAACCAAACGCCACAAACUCUCUUGAUGAGAAGGUCCGUCAUUUAAUGUUAAUCUUUAGUAAAGGGGCUUCAUUACCUGUUUCCACUCGUAGAGUUAAAAGAAUGCGUACCCUCUUAGUUAACGAUAGUGGAGCUGAAUCAUCUGAUCAUUCAUCAUUAAAUGCUGAGAUCGUAGAAGAAUUAUUUAGGGAAUCGACAAGUUUAAGGGCAUUAGAUUUUGGCGGAUCGUACGACACAAAAUUUUCUUUGACUCUGGAGAUUCCGAGAAACAUAGAAAAGCUGGUACAUUUAAGAUACCUUAAUUUGUCUUAUCAGGGAAUAAAGAAACUACCCGAGACAUUAUGCGAGUUGUAUAAUCUAGAAAAGUUAGAUAUUAGUUAUUGUUAUAAGCUAGAAGAAUUACCUGAAGGGAUUGGGAAGUUAAUAAACAUGAAGCAUUUACGAAAUAGAGGUACUAGUUCUUUAAGGUACAUGCCAGUAGGGAUUGGGAGAUUAACGGGUCUUAGGACCUUGGGUGAGUUCCACGUGAGUGCAGGAGGAGGUGUUGAUGGUAGGAAAGCAUGUAGGCUUGAAUCUCUUAAAAACUUGGAAUGCCUUCAAGUAUGUGGUAUACGUAGACUGGGUGAUGUAUCAGAUGUGGGCGAGGCUAAGCGAUUAGAACUUGACAAAAAGAAAUACCUCUCUUGUUUGAAACUUCGGUUUGAUAAGAAGGAGGAAGAAGAUGAGGAGGAAGAAGAAGGAGAAAGGAGGAAGAACGAGGACGAUCAACUUCUUCUUGAAGCCCUGCGACCACCUCUGGAUUUAAAGGAAUUAGAGAUACAGUACUACCGAGGCAACACUGUUUUCCCUAAUUGGAUGAUGUCAUUAACCAACUUAAAGAGUUUAGAUCUCUCUUUCUGCGAAAAUUGCGAGCAGCUGCCUCCUUUGGGAAAAUUGCCGUCCCUUGAAAAACUCAGCCUAUUGCACAUGCGGAGUGUGAAAAGAGUGGGUGAUGAAUGUUUGGGGAUAGAAAGUGAUCAUCAUGACUCAUCGCCAUCUUCAUCAGUUAUUAUUGAAUUCCCCAAAUUGAAAUCACUUUCAAUUCAGUUUCUGGGCGAAUUGGAGGAGUGGGAUUAUGGGAUUACAAGAACGGGAAACACCGUCAUCAACAUCAUGCCACGUCUUUCUUCCUUGGAAAUUGGUAGCACCAAAUUAAAGGCACUGCCCGACCACAUUCAUCAAACGACAACAUUGAAGGAAUUGCGCAUUUGGGGGUGUAGGCUUCUGGGAAAACGUUACCGCAAGGGGGAAGGAGAAGACUGGCCUAAGGUAUCUCACAUUCCCAACACAGAUAUUCGAUAAGAAGGAUUCGCGCAUUCGAGAUUUGGCGUUGACAAGUAAUUUCUUCUCUUACUCUGAUUUGCUUUUGUUGUUGUUUUUAAUCUAGUUAAGAAGCAUAAAUAGCAUUUUGAAUCAAGCUGUAUAUCAGAAAUCUGUAAUACAUAUUUUCUAUUAUUCCGAUUUUAAUUUGUGAUUUGGGUAACGUUACUGUAAAACAUUAUUAAUGCAAUAUGAAGGCUGUAAAACAUUAUUAACCUAUUACUGUAAAACAUUAUUACUGUAAAACAUUAUUAACCUAUGUUUAGCUGGCUUUGGAGUUGAGUAAUAACCUUUCGAGGUCGCGCCUAUAAAAUGGCUAAGCUCAAUUUGCCACAGAUUACAUGUAUUGCCAUCAUUGACAAUUUUCUGGAUAAGUGAUGAAGGGUGAGAAUGGUGCUAGAAUAUUGAAUAAAGCUGUCGUGACUGAACUUUGGUUGAUCUCAAAAGAGGUAUAUUAUUGGCAUGCCUAGCUAAUUUGACCACUUCCUGAUUCAUAAGCCUAUAUCAAUUUUGAUUUUGAGUUGAGUGAUUAAUUUUCAAGGUUUGCUUACUUAACCGGUGACCAAUUUCUUGUAACUAAAUGUAUCAUAUGAUGCAGGCAGCAGGGCAGGAUAUGAAAUGAGUAGUUUAUUAGUGGAUGGAUUGCCAGAAACAGAACCCAAAGAAAAUGAAAACAUUUCGAGGCAGCAGUUGGCAGCUGGCAAUGAAUGGAGGCCCUUGAAAAAAUUCCCAAGCCGUUGCACAGCAAUUACGAUCAUCCUCGGCCUCAGGUAAUUUCUUCUCCUGCAUUUUUGUUAUUUGCUAUCAAGUGACUAUUUUAAGUAUGAUUGCAUUAAGCUGCUGCUGGGAAAUUUGAGGUUUUGAUGGCUGCCCAUGCUAUUGUCAGAAGCUGCGGUUCUUUUCAUCAGCCUGAACCUGGACCUGCCGCUAUGGAUAACUCAGAUUUUUUUUUUUUUUUUAAUCAACUGUGUCAUCUUUUCCACUGUUUUGAAACUCUUAAGAUUAAACUUUAGUAAAGUUGUUUUAGUUAUCCAUGUAAUCAGGCUGAGGAUACUUAGCUGCCUAUUUAGGCAAAUGUCAGACUUUAGUUUGUUCGCUGGGAACUGGUGUGGUGACAGCGUCCUGGCAAAGGAUGAUGAGAUAGUUUUUUGAUUGAGUAAAUUUUGGGAGCUUGAGUGUAUUGGGAUUUGCAAUUACAAUCAUCCUCUGCCUCAGGUGAUUUCUUCUCCUGCCCUGUCGUUGUUUGUUCUCUAAUUCAAAAUUAUAAAAUAUUUCAUCAAAUUUUAUGCCAGGAAUAUGCAAAAGUUUCUAAUAUUUUAUUUCCAUCUGUUUGCCUUGAUAACUUUGCAGCAAAUGUACUAGUUAAAGAACAAAUCGAAACAGAGUUCAGUUAAAAGUUUCUUCUGCCGUCAUAUUUGAAAAAUGAACCCAUUUCCAGGAAGCAAUGGGCAGCAAAUUCAUAUAAAGCGUAGACAAUGAUGAGCAAACAGGUGAUUCACAAUUUCACUUUUUUUAAUGAAAUUAAUUGUUUGGUUGGAGCGGACAUUGUUAGAAGGCUAUUGAGCUAACCUAUGUCACUACUUGCCUAGAUUACAGGGGGUCAAAACUCAAAAGCGGCAUUGAAUUUUAAAAGGCAUCCAAUAAUUCUGGCUUUUGUUAUCAACUAUAUCAUCUUUUUCACUAUUUUGAAACUCUUAAGAUUAAACUUUAGUAAAGUUGUUUCAGCUAUUCAAAUGAAAAACUCAUUGAUUUGAGACUUCCUUCAUUAUUGUUUCUAAUUACAAUGCUAACGAUCCAGAUAAGAUAAUAUUUAAUCGGCGAAGGUGUCCCUUGGAAGUACAUCCUUCUUUUUCUUUUGUUAUAUAAAUUCUUGCAAUGAGCUUAGUGAAGCUGUUGUGCUAAUCAUGCCACUGCAUAAUUUGUUCUGCAAAUUCUCCAGAGGUUAAAAUCAAUAAAUUUUCUAUUAGCUCUAGUGCUUUGACUUAAAUGCUAUUCUAUAUUCUGAUUACAAUGUUUUAACCUUUAAAUUAACUACCCCUAGAUGUUGGAUUUUCUAGAACUUCAAAAUGAUUAAUGGAGAAAGAUCCCAUUAUCGUUAUUGCUAUAUGAAAUUGAUUUAUGCAUCCAAAGAUACAUUAUAUAUUUCUGUGUCUCUAUUUAUAGAUGACAUUUAAGCAUCCAUAAACCGUCAGACAGAGGAAGGGGGUUCAGUGCAAAGAUUCUGUUGACCUAGGGUUGACUGCAUAAUGUCACUUGUUCGCAAUCUAUUAUUUAUUUUAUAUUUUGAAGAAUUUAAUGGGUAAUCCUAACUGUUUGUUUUGGCAGGUAUGUGUUGUUAUCUCCUUCUAUCUUACAGUCGUACCUAAAUAGCAUAGUUUCAUCUGUGUUACCAUGUGAUGUACAUAAUUUCACAUUUGCCUCAGAUUAAGCUUAAUUUCCCACAGAAUAGAGCUGUCGCGACUGGACUUAGGUUGAUGUCCAAAGAGGUAAAUUAUUGGCAUGCCUAGAUAAUUUGGCCAUUUCCUAAUUCAUAAGUCUACAUUAAUUUUGAUUUUGAGUUGACUGAUUUCUUUUCAAGGUCUGCUUCCUUAACGGAGUGACCAAUGUUUUUCAACUAAAUUUAUCAUAUGAUGCAGGAAGCAGGGCAGGAUAUGAAAUGAGAAGCUCAUUGGUGGAAGUAUUGCCAGUAACAGAACCCAAAGAAAAUGAAACUAUUUCAAGGCAGCAGUUGGCAGUUGCAAGUGAAUGGAAGCCCUUGACAAAAUUCUCAAGCGGUUGCAAUGCAAUUACGAUCAUCCUCAGCCUCAGGUAAUUUCUUCUCCUGCUUUGUAUUUAUUUGUUAUCUAAUUAGGAAGCGUAAAGUAUCUUGAAUCAUUUUCUGUAUCUGGAAUAUAUGCAAGAGUUUCUAAAAUUUUGAUAUGAGUGUAAUGAUGGUAAUUUCUGAUUUCUGUCUGUCAUCAAAUGUUAGAAAACUUUCAUUGAGACCCUUGAACCGAGUCAUUUUUGACAAGUGAAGUGCUGAAGAGUGAAGAGUAAGAAUGGUGCUAGAUUGGGGAAUAAAGCAAAAGGAGGUAAAUUAUUGGCAGCUUCUUCAACCUUAUUUUCUUUGGACCAGUGCCUAAUUCACAAGUCUCCAUAAUUCGGCUUUUGACCAGUUGAUAGAUAAAAUUUUAAUUUCAUUGGUGCUAAUGUACCCGUGAGGCAGGCAGAGAAGGACUGUGGAAAAGAGAAGGUUUUUAGUGAAAGCUUAAACUCAGGUAAUUCUAAAAAUUAUAUGUUUUGGCUGAUUUAUCUAAAUCAGGAAAUUUUAUUUCCAUCUGUUACAAUAAAACAGAAACAGAACACAAAGAAAAAUAUUCUACUUCUUGUGGCAAUCUUGCCUUCAUUCAGACUAUGAAACCAUUUCCUUUCACCAAUUUCUUCCAAAAGUUUGAACACGUUUCAUGGUUGGACAUAGUUAGCUUCUUUUUCUUUUGGUGCAUUUAGGUGCUAUCAAGUGACAGCCAUAAGUAUGAUUGCAUUAUUAGGAAAUUUUAGGUUUUGAUGGCUCCCCAUGUUAUUGCCAAGAAAUUUUAAGUCCUCAUGUCAGAAGCUGCGUUUCUUUUCAUCAGCCUGAACCCGAACCUGUCACUAUGGAUAACUGAGGUUUUUGUCAUCAACUAUAUCAUCUUUUUCACUGUUUUGAAACUCUUAAGAUUAAACUUCAGUAAAGUUGUUUCAGUUAUCCAUGUAAUCAGGCUAAGGAUAUUUAGCAGCUUAUUUAGGCAACUGCCAGAAUUCAGUUUGUUCGCUCGAAACUUGUAUGGUGACAAGGAUACUGGCAAGGAUAGUGAGAUAAUUUUUUGUGUGAGUGAAUUUUGAAAGCUUGGGUGUUCUGGGAUUUGCAAUUGCAAUCAUCCUCUGCUUUAGGUGAUUUCUUCUCCUGUUCUGUCUUUAUUUUCUCUCUAAUUGAAAGCAUUUCAAUCAAAUUCUGUACCAGGAAUACGAAAAAUUUACUAAUAUUUUAUUUCCAUCUGUUUGCAUUGAUAACUUGGCCGCAUAUGUACUAGUUAAAGAACAAACAGAAGCAGAGUUCAGGAAAAAGUUUCUUCGGCCACCAUAUUUGAAAAUGAAACCAUUUCCAGGAAGCAGUUGGCAGCAAAUUCAUACAAAGUAUAGACAAUGAUGAGCAAAAAGGUGAUUUGCAAUUUCAUUUUUUUAAAAUGAAAUUAUUUGUUAAGUUGGAGCGGAUAUUGUUAGAAGGCCAGAAGGCCACUGAGCCAACCUAUGACACUGCUUGCCUAGAUUGCAGGAGGUCAAGACUCAAAAGAUGCACUGAAUUUUAAAAGGCAUGCAAUAAUUCUUAUGGCCAUUUGUCAAUGGUGGAAUGCUUUUAGCUUCUUUUCCUUUCGUGCAUUUUGGGGUUCUAUCAAGCGACAGCCGUAUGUAUGGAUGGAUAUAGCUGAAGGACAACAUUUGUCCAUGAGGUUCCUAAAAUCGCAACUUUUGUGCAGUAAAAUUAAAACGGACGGCGGAAGCUCUAGAAACCUCGGAUCGGCUUCAUUCAAAAACGAAAAUCAAGAGGAAAGAUUGAAGUUUAAUUACCUCACUUGCAGUUUCGAAAAAGACUUCGUGAGGUAGGAGAAAACGACUGAAAACAGCAAGCUACGAACAUUGUCCAGAAAAUACAGCUCUGCACGAACAGCUUCUGUUUUGCCACGAUCUGAGAUCCUUAAGCACCCCAAUUGUGAUGCCUCUAAUUAUUCCACACUUAGAAAUGUUCUAGGAGUUCAGAGGAUUUGGAAUCACGAAAUUUCGUUUAGAAAUGAGAGAGAUAAUGAUGAAACAUGAAUGCUAGUUCAUGAUGAUUCCCCUUCCACCAAAUAAAGCACCAUUAUGUCUAAUAAUGGCACCAAACAUUAUCAUGUGCUAGACCCACCCACUUAGCUAUAAUUUAUUGAAAGUGAUCUUAUCACUUAAAUAAAUUAUUUAAUCAAAUUAAUAAAUAGCUAAAUUAAUUAAUUUCGUAAUUAAUUAAUUAACCCCAUUUUGAUCAAAUCAAAUGGUUAAAUGUGGGCUCAUUUUGUGACAUGUUCUAAUGCUUUCUCUUAAUCCAUAUUAGAUCCAAUAAAAGCCCAAAAUUCUAAACCUAAAAAUGGUCUAGAAGUCCAUAAUCAUAUAUGAACCCGAACAUGUUCAAAAUGGUCAUUUUACGUGCUCGAUAUUACAUAAUGUUUAAUGGAGGAUUUACGAAAUUUAUUUUGUUCCUUAAACUAUUUAUGGAACAUCUAAAUUUCUAUCUUAAAUCAUAUUUAAGAUAUAUUUAUAUAUAUAUAUUCAUUCUCAAUGAAUUAUAAUAUAAAUAUUGAUUUUCCUAAAAAUAGAAAAUUUAACUUCUCAUUUUUUAGUAACUCCUUUUUCAUUUCUAUUUAGUGUGUGACUUUUUAGGUUCUUAGUUAUAAGGUAGUAGAACUAUUUUAAUGAUAACUCUUUAUUCAUUAAAUGAUGCUAAACUCUUUAGUCAUCAAUUAGAACUCUUCUAAUGACCUUAAGAUGCAUUGAUAAUACGCUUUACCAAUAUUGAUCUUAAGGUUUCUACAAAUCAUGAGUGACACCUAGCAGUAUAUCACAACCAUCCAAAUAACAAGAAUUGUUGGAUCUAUAGAACCUAUUCCAUUGUAUCUCUAUGUCUUGGUCUCUUCAUCAUCCAUGUCUAGAGAAAAGCACGGCUUAUGGUUUAUUAUGUUAAGCACUUAUGCUUUAUCUCAAAAAAAAUCUAAAUGAACUUGACAUGAAAAUAUAAUUUGAACUCCUUCAAAUAUAUUUCACCUUGGCCAAGGAUUUCUCAUGCCAAUUCAUAUUAUCUCAUAGGGACAUCCUUUUUGUAUAUUACAAAGUGAUGAAUUCCAUAUUGGCCAUGCACUAGUCUUCAUACAUAUCCAACCAUGACAGUUAUUGCUAGAUAUCUUCCGUGAUUAGGAAUCAAUCAUUAUGCAUUCACAUAUUAGAGAUGUCUAUGUAUAAGACAUCUGUUAUGCCUCAGGUCUAAAGACCAUUACUAAACAUAGUGUCUAAUACAAUGUAUAAUAAGCCAUUAACACUCAAGACCAUAUGGCUUACUAUAUUUGGUCAAGUUCAGUAAACUUGUUCUCUCAACAAGUACCUAUGUGUUUGACUUGACAUCUCAUGUCAAUGAUAUGAAACUCACCAUCCAUUUUAGUAUCACAUACCAUAAGGAGUCAUAACACAUACUAGUGUUUAUAGGAAUUUAUAAUGUCCAAUCAUAAAUCCACCACUAGGAACUAUUUUAGAAGUAUAGUACAAAGGAUACACGUUUCAUAUUCUCGACAAACUCGAGAAUGUGUUCCUUAACUAUUUUACAUCUUGGACUAUAUUCAUUAAAUUAAUUAAUGAAUAUUGAUAACUUUGCCAUUUUAUAAAUAUCAAAAUGCUAUUCAAAUACGAUAAUUCCCUAAACAAACAAACACCUGAUUGGCCUUUAGGGCAAAUUACUAACAAUAGCUGCUGCGUUGAUUUCUAAUGCGGUGGAGUAAUCGUCGUUAGAAUCUGAAUGAUAUGUCUAAGACGUUGCAUGCAUCAAGAAAAUUGCAGAUGAUUAAACCUUGCCAUCUAUGCGUUGUAUGAGGUUAUAGCAACUAUCUAUCUGGUCACCGUUUUAAAAGAAUAAGACAAAGGGAAAAAGAGAAAGAAAAGAAUGAUUCGACAAUGGCAUUAAAGUUCAACAUACCCCAAGAUCUUGUAAUAAUGCCAUUAAUCAUUCUCUAGCUAGGCUAGCCUUAGAGAAAAGUGAAACUGUUGCACAGGUAGAAUCAAACCCCUCAGAGAUAUGAUGAGUUCGUGAUGCUUGCAUUUUAUUGAUGCUGAUGAUUCGUUGAAUGUUUUAUGUUUUUGAUUUUUAAGUAUUCCGGAUCGAAGUUUGUGUCUACGCGGAAAUUGUAAAGGCAGCAUAUAAAGUACUCGUCGUUCUUUAGAUUUUAUUGAGUACACUUUUGUCACAUUUAGCGUAUGCUAUACACUACUGAUUUGCGCAUUGACAUAUAUCUUAUUUUAUCAUUUUGAAUGAAUUGCACGGCGAGGCUUAUCAACUUUGGAUGAAUCCUCCAAUUGUCACAGUCCAAGACUGGCUGCAGUGAGUGAAAAUUUACCCAUAUAUGUGCUGGCUAUUUUUAUUGGCGACGAAUUCGUUGUAGUUGGUCCAUCUUGCUAUUCUCGGACAAUAUUAGAGAAAAUAAUCAUAUUAUUUCGCGUGAUGUGACCUUCCAUAACUUAUCAAUUGAAUUACUGUAAAAUUAUUGUGUAAGUUUAGGCCCAAUGGCACUUUAGUUCAUCACAUGAUAGCCUGGAUUUAAAAGGAAAACUAUAUUGCAUUGCUUCAAAAAAAAAAUUUAAUGUUUUUAAUAUGAAUAUUUUUAACUAUAUUCAGUUAAAAUAAUAUAUUCUUAAUAUUAAUAUUCAUAGAUGAAAUUCUUUUGCGGAUUUAAGAAUAAAAUAUCAAAUAGUUUUAUUUUUCUUUUGUUGUGUAACUUGGACCGAAAAAGAAAAUGAGCUUAACAUGACCCUCCUUCCGGCACUAUGCAUGUUUUUCUUAUAUUGAUGACAGUGCUCUUGGUGCUUCUCAUCUGCUUCUUGCUUUGGUUUCAAACAAGUCUUUCUCCGUCGAGACAUUUAUUGUAAUUUGAUUUGGAGACAUCUGUCGUUCAAAUAUAUUUCAUAUGCAAGCUGUUGAUAAUUCUGCUUGAGAAAGCCUACAAAGCAGCUGUGUGAUGUAAUAGAAGACUAUAUAUGCAAACGGUCAUCAGUUUCUCUUGAAUUCUUUCUUGAGUUUCUUUGAAUUAUUUGUGAAUGAGUUCUUAAUCGGCUGCUGCUCUUCAGGAAAAGGAAAGUGUUGCAAACUGGUGAAGCUGAUCGAUAAAAGCAAUGUACCAUCUUUGCUGCCAUGGAUCGAUGCCAGUGAGUUUUUUUUAUUUGUCAAACUACUAAUGAGUUCUCCAUGCAUAUGUGUUUCUUCAACUUGAAGCGGCAUAUAAGACGAAAGAAGUGAUCUUUAAAGCAUUCUAUCGCAUUAUCCUUUCCUAUUAUAUAUAUCCAAUUGCUCCAAAUUAUUUGUAAAUUACUGAACACGAAUGCUGAUGAAUAAACUGAUCGCUCUAUGUAUGUAUGCACAUGCAUGGAGAAAUUUUAAGUCAGACAUUCUCAUAUAUAACUCUUGGUACCAAAUCAUCAAAUAAAUCUUGAAAUCAAAGUAAUAAUUAAAUACAAAUAAAUUGCUCGAAUUGUACAUAUAUCUGAAUCAUGUAGUGAAGAAAAUACAACAACAACAACCAAUGGCUCAAAUCCCCCAUCAACCUCUGGUCUCAACACUUUUGAGUGUCAGAAGCAUUACUCUGUUACCAGUUAACAAACAUAUAAUUAGUAAUUUGCCAUUCACUUCCCUUUUAGGCCUAACACAUUUUCUAUAAAGGAGCCACAGAGUGAACUCAGCAGGAAACACUCAAUUUCAACCUACGUAGGACCAGGAAUUUCAACCAAAAAAAAAGUGUGCAAUUGCUUAUCCUAUCCUAUUGCUACUAGAAAGAAAGUGAACAAUUAAUUUCAGUGAAUAAAUUAAAAAAAAAAAUUACUUCUGCAGAUACUCAAGCUAAGAACACAUUAACCCAUUAAAGACUCCAAAUUGCAUCAAACAAAUUGUUGUUAAACAAGUAAAACAAAGAAAGAGAGUUAAGGAAGCUGACCUAGUAGUAGGGGAGCUGAAGAAAGACUGCCAGUGAAUGUAAGAGAAAAUAAAAUGCAAGAAAUGGUGAAGUGCAGCUUUUCAUGUCAACUUGAAAUUGUUUCUUCUGUUUUUUUUUUUAAUCUUUUGGAUUUUUAAAACAAAGAAAAUGAGGAGCAACCAGGGAGAUAAAAAGGGCGCCAAGGCAACUGUGUGUUGGGUUUAGAGCCAAAAAAAAAAAGAAGAAUAAGACAUCGUGUUCUUGUGGAGACCAGACCUAUUACGUAACGUCCCCUUCAAUACCACUUGUUCCGUAUCUGGUUUUUUCUUCGUCUUUUACAUAUUUAUCCUGUGAUUUUACAAUAACUAAAUAAUCCCCCCAUAGUUUGCAAUUUUAUUCAUUUGAGCCCUACAGAUUUCAGUAAUAGGAAUUAUUAAGGGACGAGCGCAAAACAGAAACUCUGUCCACUACUGAUGAUAUAACAACGAACCUUUGUUUUUUUCUUUUUUUUAAAAAAAAAAAAGAGUAACAAAAUAUCAUUAGACAAAUGAAAAUAUUAUCUAACAUCACCUUACUGAUGAUAUGAAAAUAUGUAUGUAUGUAUGUAUGUAUAUACAUAUGUAUGUAUGUACAUAUAUGCAUACAUCUGUUACAUUUCAUCUUUGCACAAUUACACGUAAAAUUCCACUAAAAGAAACUCUUGAGUUGCUCGCAAGCUAUAUAUCAUUAUCCAUUGAAUUCUUACCACAUACAUCUCACCUUUCAAUCAAUCACAUAAUAAUCAAUAUACAUAUUGUAAGAAUUCAACAAAUGGAGAACAUAAUAUACUAUAAAAGCAUCCAAAAUUUUUCCAUCUCAAAUUAUUACUAAACUUCUUGAACAAGUUGAAGAUUGGGGGGAAAAAGUGCAAGAAGGAAAAGCAUUAUUCUACUAGCUUCUAGGUUUCUCAUUUGAACAGAAAAAUUAAAUAAGAUAUUUGUGUAUGGCUGUAGUACUACACGGUAUCUGCUAGAAAGCAAAAUACCUUCUGCUGAUUGCACAUUGGAAUGGGAAUAAGUUGGUAAAUAUAUAAGUUACAUAAAUUAUUUUGGAUAAUUCUGCUGGUGAAUUAAUUAUCUUAAAAUCACCCUUUUAUUUUUUAAAAAAUCUUAAGUUAUUUUUCAUAUAUCUUAAGAAGACAAACAAACUUUCAUCAACUCUCCUUUUUCAGCUUUUCCCUUCAAUAAUGUUAGAAAUUCUAACAUUUGAGUCCUGCUUGAUCUUAAUACUAUAUAUCACUCAUUUAUUAGAUGAUGAAUUUUUUAAAUUAUAAAGUUAUUUGACUACCAUCCAAUGAAUGAAUGUCACGUCAUUUAAAACUCAAAGAAAAGUAUUCUACUUCUUGCGGCAAUCAUGCCUUCAUUCAGACUAUGAACCAUUUCCUUUCACCAAAUUCUUCAUAAACAUUGAGUAAGUUUCAUGGUUGGACAUAGUUAGCUUCUGUUUCUUUUGGUGCGUUUAGGUGCUAUCAAGUGACGGCCGUAAGUAUGAUUGCAUUAUUGGGAAAUUUUACGAUUUGAUGGUUCCCCACGUUAUUGCCAAGAAAGUUCUCAUGUCGGAAGCAGCGGUUCUUUUCAUCAGCCUGAACCCGAACCUGUCGCUAUGGAUAACUCAGGUUUAACAUCAGCAGGAAACACUCAAUUUCAACAAAAAAAAAAAGUGUGCAAUAGCUUAUCCUAUCCUAUUGCUACUAGAAAGAAAGUGAACAAUUAAUUUCAGUGAAUAAAUUAAAAAAAAAAAUCACUUCUGCAGAUACUUAAGCUAAGAACACAUUAACCCAUUAAAGACUCCAAAUUGCAUCAAACAAAUUGUUGUUAAACAAGUAAAACAAAGAAAGAGAGUUAAGGAAGCUGACCUAGUAGUAGGGGAGCUGAAGAAAGACUGCCAGUGAAUGUAAGAGAAAAUAAAAUGCAAGAAAUGGUGAAGUGCAGCUUUUCGUGUCAACUUGAAAUUGAUUUUUCUGAAUUUUUUUAAGCUUUUGGAUUUUUCAAACAAAGAAAAUGAGAAGCAACCAGGGAGAUAAAAAGGGCGCCAAAGCAACUGUGUGUUGGGUUUAGAGCCAAAAAAAAAAAAAAGGAUUAAGACCUAUUACGUAACGUCCCCUUCAAUACCACUUGUUCCGUAUCUGGUUUUUUCUUCGUCUUUUACAUAUUUAUCCUGUGAUUUUACAAUAACUAAACAAUCCCCGUAUAGUUUGCAAUUUUAUUCAUUUGAGCCCUACAGAUUUCAGUAAUAGGAAUUAUUAAGGGACAAGAGCGCAAAACAGAAACUCUGUCCGCUACUGAUGAUAUAACAACGAACCUUUGUUUGUUUGUUUUUUUUUUAAAAAAAAAAGAGUAACAAAAUAUCAUUAGACAAAUGAAAAUAUUAUCUAACAUCACCCUACUGAUGAUAUAACAACGAACCUUUGUAGUUUCUGCCUGUUAAUAUGAAUUGAUCGGGAGUGUUUCCUCACUUAAAAAUUACGAAUUUACAAAAUAUGUACGUAAGUAUGUAUGUAUGUACGUACGUAUAUAUGUAUGUACAUAUAUGCAUACACCUAUGUAACAUUUACUUAUCCAUUCUUUUGAGUUUAAAUCUUAAUACACAUUUUCAUGAAAUUUUUAUUUUAUUAAGUAUACAACUACAUACAACUACAUUAAUGUAUAUAUUUUUUACAUAAGACAUGCCGUCCUAUUAUUCAUAAGUAAACAAUGUGUUGUAAAUAGUAUUCUGUGUUUUCUCAAAGUUGACUUUUCGUCUUUUAUUUUCAGACGCAGACGAUACGUCAUUUUGUAAUCUUCAAAACAUAUACACAGCAGAAUUGGUGUUAUCUGAUUUUGUGAUGCAAUAAGAUUUGCACUUCCUGUGCAUUCAAUGGAAUCAUUUCUUUGUAACUAAUUGGGUGGUGGAAUGGUGGUCAAAUCUCGAACGAAGACAGAUCUAUCAAACUCCAGAAACAGGGAAACCAUGCCACGCUAGUAGACAAUAUGCUAGUUUGAACAAACUUGUUUGAAUGGCAAAAACGACAUGACCUGCUGUAGUAUUAGUUCUUUCCCGAACCAACGGGUGAUUUGCUACGUUGGAUCAUGAAAAUUGAAAAAAAAAAUUAACCAAAAUAAAAAUUCUUAAGGAAUUAGUUAGUUAAUUGAUUGAUCGAAUUUAAUCUAAAUUUGAAAAUGAUAAGAUAAAUUUAAAUUUAUUAUUAUAAUUAUUAUUUUAAACUGGGGUGGGUUUAUACAAUUUGAGCGGUGGAAAUAUCACUACUGAAUUAUUAAAUAUACAGUGUAAAAUUUUGACCUUUAAAAUAUUCCUGUUUUUUUAUUUAGCAUCUAUAAGUUAAAAAAUUUAACAUUGUACCUCAAUAAUUAAAUACAUUUAACUUUAAUCUUCAAAUAGUUACCUACAACAUUUGGACCUAAAUUUUUAAUCCGAUUCGGCCCCUGAUCCAAGUGGGAAGAAGAUCAGGCUUAUACCUAUCACCAACGUAACAUCUUCUGGAAAAUAAUAAGAUUAUUCACCUGCAAUUAUGUGAUCAAACUAAUGGUAACCAAAAUAGAAUAGCGUUAUUUGAGUCCCCUUUCAGUUUCUUUAUCAUUUUUCUUUUCCUAUUUAUAAGCUUAAUUCGGUUCAAAAUCGGCUAAUUCACUUUAAUAAGUUUAUUGGUUUGAACGCUGUUUCCUUUCGUGCAUUUUGGUAUGCUAUCAAGUGACAGUCGUAUGUAUGGUUUGCAUAUAGCUGCUGCUGGGAAAUGUGAGGAUUUCAUGGCUGGCCGUGUUAUUGUCUUAAAUUAGAUGUGAUAAGCUGUUGCUUGGAGAUUCUGUCACCAAGACUUUGCUCACAUCAGAAGCUGUGGAACCUCAACCCUUCUCUAGAUAUCAUCUUUUUCAUUGUUUUAAAACUCUCAGGAUUAAACUUGAGUAAAUUUUUCGGUUGUCUAUAUAAUCAUGUAUUGAGUAAACUCUCAGGAUACUGAGCAGGCAAAUGCCAUAACUCGGUUUGUUCUUCAAAAACUUGUUUAAGAUUCUUGACAAAGCUGCAUGAAGUGAAUCUUGGGAGCUUUGAGGGUGAGAGAAAUUAGAGGGUGUAUAGGGAUUUGGGUUUAUUAGGAAGUUAUAUAUGUAUUUCGUCACUUAUCAUUAUCAUUUUUAUUUUCACAGAAAACCUUCUGAUGGUGCUAAAUUUUCAAACACCGGUCCGAUUCAAAACUUCAUAUUCCAAUUAUAUUCAUAAGACAAAUGGAACACUUUGAACGGCUAGUGUCCGAGCAUUGUAGUUUGAUUUAUUUUGAUGAAAGUACCUUUUGACAUUGAGAUUCUUUCAUGAUUUAAACAUUCUUUUUUAAACCAAAUUAUUAAAAAAAGUAACUAACAUAUAUUAUUUUAUUAGUGCUUUUUAAAUCAAAUGUACAUAGGAGAACUGUAAUUCUUAUCAAUCAAUUUUCCACUAAAUACACCUGCAACAAACUAUUAAUAACAAAGUGAUAGAAAAUACCUGAUUUUUCAUACCUUUUUAAUUUCUUUUGGUCCUAAAAUAUGGGCAUUUGUGUAAUAAUACGCCCAUGUGGAUCUCUAUGCCAUGAGUUUGAUAAAUAGCUAUCAAGGAUCACAUAUUAAGCUAAAAAUAUUUGGAGGACAAAAUUGUAAAACUAAAAGGGUGGAGCAAAUAUGGCUAUCUAGGAUUAAAUAGUAAGUCAACUAUAUUUAAAGGAUAAAAUAUUAAAACUUGAACUGUGAUAUUAAAAAUAUCUCAACUAUUGUAUUAUUAAACCAUAUGUUCUAAUAGUUUUUUUUUUAAGCUUCAAAAUGUUCAGAAUUUUAGAUUGAAACAUUUUCAUUUGAAAUUAUUUGGUGCAGUCACAAGUUAAGAAAGAAAAAGUUGUCCCAUUGGUCAUUUCACAAAAAUGAAAGCCCUGUAUAACAUGGACUUGAAUGGAAGCCCAAUUGUUUGUGUUUGAUUAAUUGAUUUCAAGCUUUAUCGAACCUUUGGAUCUGGAUAUUUUACUGGAGUAAUGAUACAGACACAAACUUUUGUACAAAUUUAUUUUGUACAAACUGAUGUGGCAUGAUAAGAUUGGUUGAAUUAAAUAUCACUUGCCCCACAUGAUUUGUUUUUAUUAAUUUAUAUUUUCAUUCAACCAAUGAAAUCAUGCCACGUCAGUUUGUAUAAAAUAAGUUUGUACAAGAGUUUGUGGCUGUAUCAUUACUCUAUUUUACUGCGGCCUCUAAGCGCUAUAAAUUUUUUUGGGGAUAAACAGCGCUUCAAUGAGGGCAUCUCCAGUGCUUAACACUAUUUUGGUGUAACACCAAUAUUAAAAAUAUAUAUUUUUCACACUAAAUUACUAUUUCAUCUCCAACCUAUUUACACCAAAUUUUAUACCAAAAAAAAUAUUUUUCUUUUUAUUCUUUUAAUUCUCAAGAAUUAAUUCAAUUAACACAAUAAAUUACUAUUAAUAUAGAUAAUUAAGUAAUAAGUAAUUUGAUCAAUUAACAAAAAAAAUAGAAAAUUAUUAAAUUUGCAUUUAAUUAACUAAAUUAGUACAUUAUGAAAAUUAAACAUUACAUUAAUAUAGAAAAAUACAAUAACAAUAAUAAUAAUUUUAUAUCUAAUAUUUUGAUGAUAUUGGAGGAUCUAAUAAUGAUCUUCCAGAUUAUUAAUUUUUUAUUUUUAACUUUGUAAUAUGUAAUAUAGUAAUUAAUGUUAUUGGCAUUUUAUUUUUAUUAUUAAUUUUUGUGUUGAAUAUUUUUUAUUUAAAAUAUUAGUAUAAUAUUCAAAAAUUAAAAAAAAUGAAAUAAAAAUAACAACAAAAAUAAUAAUAAUAAUAAUAACUUAAAAUAUUAUAUAAAAAAGGACAUAUAUGUAAAUAAGAAAAAGUAAUAAAGAUAUUUAGGACUCUUUUUUCCUAGCACCAAAUGAAUAGUGUUACACCAUAUUUGGUGCAAUACUAUUCAUAACACCAAUUUGCUGUUCGUUUUGAUGUUACAUUGGAGAAGCAUUUUACACAAAAAAUGGUGUAAAAGGUAGUUUGGUGUUAGUUUUGGUGUCACAUUGGAGAUGGCCUGGAAAAACACUUGAAAACUUUGGAUUUUUGGUUCGUCCAGUUACGGUGUUAUGCUAAUGGGGUUAAAAGUUCCGAUCCAAUGAGUUAGGAUGGAAUAUGAAUAUAUAAAUUCCAUAGCAUGUAAGGACUAGGAUUUGUUUGUUCAUAUCAAGAAAAAAAAGAUCCGAAAAUUUGAUGAUCAGAAGAUGAAGACACGUUUAUUACAGAGAAACAAACGACAACAUGAUACUAGUAGUAGUUAUUCUUUUCAUCCGAUAUAUUACAUGGUAAUAUCACUACUCGUUCCACUGGUUUCAUAUACACCAUCGAUCAGCAACAUGAUAAUUUUGUGUCAGUUCAUUUUGUUUGUAGGAAAGAGCAGUGUAUUUCUUAGAGCUUGAAAAUAAUAAAAAGAUUUUAAAAUAUAAAUUGCAUAUUUGUUUAUUACAGUUGUUUGGUCUAAUUUCUUAUGUAGAAUUGCUUGUCAUUCUUUGGACGUUAUUGAUUAUAUUUUUGUCAGACUUGGCGUAUAUAUUCACACAUACGUUUUAUUUUGUCAUUUUGUAGAACAUUUUUACACGCCAUAUUAUCACGACUCUUCUCUGUCUGAAUAAGAAGAAAGCAUAAUGCGACCCUCCAAUAGCUUAAUCUAUGGAAUUAUCGUGUUUUGUAAGUUGAGGUCCAAUGGCGUUUUGGCACAUCAUAUGAUAGCCCACUAUAUUGCGUUGCUUUACAAAAGAUUAAUAUUUUGAAAAUUAUUAGGUAAGUUUAGGCUCAGUGGCACUUUAACUCAUGAUAUGAUUGUCCAGGUUUUCGAGGACCACUAUAUUCUAUUGAUUUAAAAAAAAUUAAUAUUUUUUAAUAUUAAUAUUCUAAAUUAUAUUCAGUUCAAAUAUUAAAUAUUAAAUACAUUCUUAAUAUUAAUAUUCUUAGAUGAAAUUCUUUUGCUGACUUAAGAAUAAAAUAUUAAAUAAUUUUAUUUUUCUUUUAUUCUGUAACGUGGACCCAAUAAAAAAAGGAAAUGAAUUUAAUAAAACCUUCAUUCAAAAUCUUCAUUCCGCCACCAUGCAUGUUAAUUGUUUCCAAAUUCCAACCUCCGUACUCUCUUGAGGAGUUUCCCAUUCAUCAAUUAUUAUUUUUUAUAAUCCAUACCAUCCUGAUAUAAUUAAACACCAUUAAUAAUGUACCAACCUUUAAAUAGUAAUUAAUUUAUUUAUCUAAUUCACCAAAUGUUUUUUCCGGUACAUAUCUCCAUUGGUAUCAAGAAGAAGCAGAACCCAAAGAAAUGUUUCUUGCAUCUUCAUAUUUGUGCGAAUUCAUCCUUUCAUUGAGAAUAACCAUUUCCAGGCAGCAGUUGGCAAUCAAUUCAUGCGCACGUCGAUGCUAUUCAUAGAUACUAAAGACAAUGAUGAACCAAAGGUGAUAAAUCAUAAAUGCAUAAUUACCAAACCUCCAUCCUUCUCUCAUUAUGAUUUGAUUUUAAAUGAAUUAUUGCUUGGUAACAUUAUUUCCAACCAUUGCAAGACCCUUUUUUUUGGAGAAAUUUCAAUUGAAAGUGAAACCUUUAGACAUUUACCUAAUGAAGUUAGUUAAUCGGGAGGGUCGGAAAAAAAAAGUUGACGCAAGUCAAUACACAAUAAUCAAUUAAAUCCGGAGUGACUAAAACAGAGCCACUACUUUUUUAAAAAUAUCUGCAUUCAUCACUUUCUCCAGCAACUAGUCAGCUACACACGAAUCAAUUUCUCUCCUCGUUUGUCAUCCAAAAUUAUUCACCAAUACCAUGGCUGAUGCAAUCGUUUCCACUAUCUUGGAGCAGCUGAUUUCCUUCGCUGCUGAAGAGAUAAAACAACAGGUGAUCGAAGUUUCACCCCUCAUAUUACAAAUACUUCCAAUGAUUUUAAUUGGCUUUGUUUUUAUCAAAAACAUUAUAUAUUUUUGCUUUUUUUUUAUUUAUCUGAUAAUUUUAUAUUUUGAAAUUUGAAUUGAAUUUAAUUAAAAGGUGAUGUAGUAACCACUCAUUUUUAUUUUAUUUCAUUUCUAUUCUCGAUAACUAACCAUAUUUUGGUAACUUAAUAUGACUCUCGUACAUAAGAAAUGAUCAAAACCCACAAUUUUAACUAUGUAUAAAUAUUCAACGUUGAGCUAAGGUUUUGCAGAACAUUCAAGUUUAUCAAAUAGUCAUUAAUUUAAUGUUUUAGUAAAACCUCAACUCAUCACUGAAUCCCAUAGCUAUUACUUAGACUCUAUGAAAAAUUUCAUAGUUUUCUUACGUUCUUUCAGUUUGGUAAGUGAUUUCAUAUAAUUUCUGUUCAAUAUAAAUUUUAAUUUGGUUUCUUAUAUACUCUCUUUGCUGAAUUUGUAUCUUUUAUGAUUCUUAGAUUUUGGGCUCUAACAUUUUAGGAUUUGAUAGUCACAUUUUAUGCCAUGCUUAGAUUGAUUUUCAUGAUUUUUACUACCCAUUAAGUGACUUAGAAUUUGACAAAAGUUUGAAAGGAAAUCUGCUUCAGGAUUCUGUUUUAAUUGACCUUUUAGUGGAAAUAGGAUGCUUAUAACUUAAUGUGGAUGGUUCGUAAAAUCAUGAAAUUUGGAUAGAAUUAACUAGAAAUAUGUACAAGACUCUCCAUGAAGUCUCAUAAUUUUUCAUUCGGUCUGGGGUGGUACAGGUGAAACUUGUGGUUGGUGUUGAAAAAGAAGUGAAAAGCCUUACCAGCCAUCUUCAAGCCAUUCAAGUUGUGCUCGAUGAUGCAGAGGAAAAGCAAGUGAAGGAAAAAGCUGUUAGUCUUUGGCUGGGUAGGCUCAAGUAUGCAUCCUACGACAUUGAAGAUGUGUUGGAUGAGUGGAUCACAACAAGACGCAAAUUGCAAAUUGAGGGUGGCAUUGGUGAAAAUGCUCUUGUUGUUCCUCAUAAGAAAAAGAAGGUAUGUCUCUGCUUUCCCGGCUCUUGUUUUGGAUUCAAACAAGAAGAAUUUGGUUUCAAACAAGUCUUUCUCCGUCAUGACAUUGCCGACAAGAUCAAAGAAAUCAAUGAAGAGCUACAUGAUAUUGCCGCUCAAAAAGACAUGUUUGAUCUUGUUAAGAGUGGCAAUAAAAGUAGUGAAAGACCAAGGCGUGUACAGAGUACCUUCUUGAUUGAUGAGGAAGAGAUUUGUGGCAGAGUUGGUGAGAGGAAUGAACUCUUAAGCAAGCUGUUGUGUGAGAGUAGCGAGCAACAAAAAGGCCUUCAUAUCAUCUCAAUCGUUGGUAUGGGAGGCAUAGGGAAAACAACUCUUGCACAACUAGCUUGUAAUCAUGACGAGGUGAAGAGAAAGUUCGACAAAAUUCUGUGGGUGUGUGUAUCAGAAACUUUUGAGGAGUUUAGGGUUGCCAAAGCGAUCGUUGAAGUUUUGGAUGGUCGUGAAUCUCAUUUAGCUGAAUUCCAUUCUCUUCUUCAACAUAUUUAUGAAUCCAUUGCAGGGAAGAGCUUUCUUCUUGUCUUAGAUGACGUGUGGGAUGGAAAUUACUUGAAAUGGGAACCAUUCUACCGUUGUCUAAAGAAUGGUCUCCAUGGAAGUAAAAUUUUAGUUACCACACGUAAAGGGUCAGUCGCAUCCAUGAUGGGAUCCAUAGAUAUUAUCUCCGUUAAGGAGUUAGCUGAAGAGGAAUGUUGGUUGUUGUUUAACAAGAUAGCAUUUUUUGAUCGGUCCAUCGAGGAACGUGAAAAAUUAGAACAAAUUGGGCAAAGAAUUGCAGGCAAGUGCAAAGGUUUACCUCUUGCAGCAAAGACAAUAGGGAGUCUCAUGCGUUCUAAACAAACUGAAGAAGAGUGGAAAAGAAUUUUAAAUAGUGAUUUAUGGAAAGUAGAAGAGAUUGAGAAAGAUGUUUUGUCCUCUUUAUUGUUGAGUUAUAAUGAUUUGCCAUCUAGAGUAAAAAGAUGUUUUUCAUAUUGUGCUGUCUUUCCAAAAGACUACAAUAUAGAAAAAGACAAACUAAUCACGUUAUGGAUGGCUCAAGGUUAUCUUAGUGCAGAAGAAGAUGAAGAGAUGGAGACAGUAGGUGAAGAGUAUUUUGGCAUCUUAGCUUCUCGCUCAUUUUUUCAAGAGUUUAAGAAAAGUUAUGAUAAUCGAAUUAUAGAGUGUAAGAUGCAUGAUAUGGUACAUGAUUUUGCCCGAUUUGUAAGUCAAAAUGAAUGUUUUUCGAUGGCAAUUAAUGGUAGUGAAGAACCAAACGCCACAAACUCUCUUGAUGAGAAGGUCCGUCAUUUAAUGUUAAUCUUUAGUAUAGAGGCUUCAUUACCUGUUUCCACUUGUAGAGUUAAAAGAAUUCGUAGCCUCUUAAUUAACGAUAGUAGAUCUGAUCAUUCAUUAUUAAAUGGUGAGAUCCUAGAAGAAUUAUUUAGGGAAUUGACAAGUUUAAGGGCAUUAGAUUUUUGCAAAUCGUAUAACGCAAGUUGGUUUUCGACUCUGGAGAUUCCGAGAAACAUAGAAAAGCUGGUACAUUUAAGAUACCUUAAUUUGUCUUAUCAGGGAAUAAAGAAACUACCGGAGACAUUAUGCAAGUUGUAUAAUCUAGAAAAGUUAGAUAUUAGUUAUUGUUAUAAGCUAGAAGAAUUACCUGAAGGGAUUGGGAAGUUAAUAAACAUGAAGCAUUUACGAAAUAGAGGUACUAGUUCUUUAAGGUACAUGCCAGUAGGGAUUGGGAGAUUAACGGGUCUUAGGACCUUGGGUGAGUUCCACGUUAGUGCAGGAGGAGGUGUUGAUGGUAGGAAAGCAUGUAGGCUUGAAUCUCUUAAAAACUUGGAACACCUUCAAGUAUGUGGUAUAAGUAGACUGGGUGAUGUAUCAGAUGUGGGCGAGGCUAAGCGAUUAGAACUUGACAAAAAGAAAUACCUCUUCAGUUUGACCCUUGAGUUUGAUAAGACGGAAAGAGGAGGAGAAAGGAGGAAGAACGAGGACGAUCAACUUCUUCUUGAAGCCUUGCGACCACCCCUGGAUUUAAAGGAAUUAGAGAUACGGUACUACCGAGGCAACAUUGUUUUCCCCAGCUGGAUGGCGUCAUUAACCAACUUAAAGAGUUUACAUCUCCAUAGGUGCGAAAAUUGCGAGCAGCUGCCUCCUUUGGGAAAAUUGCCGUCCGUUGAAAAUCUCUACAUAUGGCGCAUGGAGAGUGUGAAGAGAGUGGGUGAUGAAUUUUUGGGGAUAGAAAGUGAUCAUCAUGACUCAUCGUCAUCUUCAUCAGUUACUAUUGC
rnacentral:lncRNA from 1 species